rnacentral:rRNA from 1 species
UACAGAGGUCUCAAGCGUUGUUCGGAUUCAUUGGGCGUAAAGGGUGCGUAGGUGGCGGGGUAAGUCAGGUGUGAAAUCUCGGAGCUCAACUCCGAAACUGCACUUGAUACUGCCUUGCUUGAGUACUGGAGAGGAGAUUGGAAUUUACGGUGUAGCAGUGAAAUUCGUAGAUAUCAGGAGGAACACCGGUGGCGAAGGCGGCUUUCUGGACACUUACUGACGCUGAGACGCGAAAGCGUGGGGAGCAAACAGG